rnacentral:lncRNA from 1 species
UUUCCUCUAGUCCUUCUUCCUACCUCUUUUUCAUGGGAAUAGUUCUCGUCUUUAAGCAGUUUACAAGAAUGAGAUGCCAGGGGGGAAAUGGCUAAUCCUUUUCCAGCUGCAGUAAAUUUAAGACGGUACCAGAGCCCGGCAGUAACCGCAGCAGCUGAAAUGUUUCAGAGCCACGUCUGAGGCUGAGAAAGGAGCUACAGUUUAUAAGAGGACCUGUGGAUCGAUGAAAAGGCGAUUAUGACCUAUGAAGAGGAUCAUCCAGCCAUUUGAGAAAGAAAAUUGGCGAUACGCUUUCGGAAGAAGUCUCUCUGUGACCCCAAGUCUCCACUGCUUUUCUCCGGCCGGAGCCGAACCACUGCACGGACCUUAUCCUAAGGAAAAUAUAUUUUGA